GGAGUUCAGACCCAGGAAGCGGCCGGGAGGGCAGGAGCGAAUCGGGCCGCCGCCGCCAUGGAGCUGAGAGUCGGGAACAGGUACCGGCUGGGCCGGAAGAUCGGCAGCGGCUCCUUCGGAGACAUCUAUCUCGGUACGGACAUUGCUGCAGGAGAAGAGGUUGCCAUCAAGCUUGAAUGUGUCAAAACCAAACACCCUCAGCUCCACAUUGAGAGCAAAAUCUACAAGAUGAUGCAGGGAGGAGUGGGCAUCCCCACCAUCAGAUGGUGCGGGGCAGAGGGGGACUACAACGUCAUGGUGAUGGAGCUGCUGGGGCCAAGCCUGGAGGACCUCUUCAACUUCUGCUCCAGGAAAUUCAGCCUCAAAACCGUCCUGCUGCUUGCUGACCAAAUGGUAAGGACUGUUUCCUGACAGUUGGCACACACUUGCUGUCUGAUAGAAUCAGCCACUCGCUUGUGCUGUUCUCGCCAUUAUUAUGGCCGUUAAUUCACAGAGGAAAUGGAAAUGUGCUGAGCCUCAGCCUUGAGGCUCCAGUGGCUCAGCUCACUGGCUUCUGGAGGCUCCGGCGGCUCAGCUCACUGGCUUCUGGAGGCUCCGGCGGCUCAGCUCACUGGCUUCUGGAGGCUCCCGCGGCUCAGCUCACUGGCUUCUGGAGGCUCCGGCGGCUCAGCGCACUGGCUUCUGGAGGCUCC
rnacentral:sRNA from 1 species